UGGGGAAUAUUGGACAAUGGGCGAAAGCCUGAUCCAGCCAUGCCGCGUGUGUGAAGAAGGUCUUCGGAUUGUAAAGCACUUUAAGUUGGGAGGAAGGGCAGUAAGCGAAUACCUUGCUGUUUUGACGUUACCGACAGAAUAAGCACCGGCUAACUCUGUGCCAGCAGCCGCGGUAAUACAGAGGUUGCAAGCGUUAAUCGGAAUUACUGGGCGUAAAGCGCGCGUAGGUGGUUCGUUAAGUUGAAUGUGAAAGCCCCGGGCUCAACCUGGGAACUGCAACCAAAACUGGCGAGCUAGAGUAGGGCAGAGGGUGGUGGAAUUUCCUGUGUAGCGGUGAAAUGCGUAGAUAUAGGAAGGAACACCAGUGGCGAAGGCGACCACCUGGGCUCAUACUGACACUGAGGUGCGAAAGCGUGGGGAGCAAACAGG
rnacentral:rRNA from 1 species